rnacentral:rRNA from 1 species
AAGUCGUAACAAGGUUUCCGUAGGUGAACCUGCGGAAGGAUCAUUCACAAUAAGUGUUUUAUGGCACUUUUUCAAUCCAUAUCCACCUUGUGUGCAAUGUUGUCUUGUAACGCGAAUGCUUGUCAUUUGCGCUACAGGAUGUAAACAUCAACUCUUAUUUUUAACAACUUUGUCUGAAAACCUGUAUGAAUACUUAAUUCAAAUACAACUUUCAACAACGGAUCUCUUGGCUCUCGCAUCGAUGAAGAACGCAGCGAAAUGCGAUACGUAAUGUGAAUUGCAGAANUCAGUGAAUCAUCGAAUCUUUGAACGCAUAUUGCGCUCUCUGGUAUUCCGGAGAGCAUGCUUGUUUGAGUAUCAGUAAACACCUCAAAUCCCUCUACUUGUUGGAGGAAUUUGGACUUGAGCAAUCCCAACUUUUCGAAAGAGAAGGCGGGUUGCUUGAAAUGCAGGUGCAGCUAGAUUCUUUCUUCUGAGCUAUAAGCAUACUUAUUUAAUCCCGUCAAACGGAUUAUUACUUUUGCUGCAGCUAACAUAAAGGUUGAAGAGUCGCUAUGGCUGACUGAUGCAGGANUUAACAUGUCGCGCAAGCGAUCUGUAAACUCGAUCUCAAAUCAAGCAAGACUAUCCGCUGAACUUAAGCAUAUCAAUAAGCGGANGAAAAGAAACUAACAAGGAUUCCCCUAGUANCGGCGAGUGNAGCGGGAUGAGCUCAAAUUNAAAAUCUGGCUGGUUUACUAGUCCNNNNUGUAGUUUAAAGAAGNNUUUUCGGUGGCAGCCNGGGUAUAANUCCUUUGGAAUAGGGUAUCAUAGAGGGUGAGAAUCCCGUCUUUGACUCAGUGCAUGCUACUAUGUGAUACGUUUUCAAAGAGUCGAGUUGUUUGGGAAUGCAGCUCAAAAUGGGUGGUAAAUUUCAUCUAAAGCUAAAUAUUGGCGAGAGACCGAUAGCGAACAAGUACCGUGAGGGAAAGAUGAAAAGAACUUUGAAAAGAGAGUUAAACAGUGCGUGAAAUUGUUGAAAGGGAAACGCUUGACACCAGUCAUGCGGGCGGAAAAUCAGUCUCUUAUAGUAGGGAGUGGUGGGAGUUUGGACCGCAAGGCCAGCUUUUGCUUCAUCUCUGCUAUGAGUGGUGCACUUUUUCGUUUGCAGGUCAACAUCAGUUUCUUCUGCUGGACAAAACUCUGAGAGAAGGUAGCAGCUUAGGCUGUGUUAUAGCUCUGGAGCGAUACAGUGGAGGGGACUGAGGCUUUCGCAGCGUGUGCUCUCGGGCAAGGCUGAUUGGGUGCUAUGAGAUCGUUCGGUGUACAAUGCAUGCAUUUUGCGCCGUGUCUUUUUUAUACUCGCUCAACUCGGCUCUUCCACGCUUAGGAUGUUGACUUAAUGGUUUUAAUCGACC